AUCUUAAAAAUAUAAAAGAUACCAGUUCUAAGCUAUUACAUAGCAUCUUCAAUAUGUCUAUCACAAUCCCUGUCACCCACCUGAAGUUCAAAAUACUAUUUUUCCUUUCUACUGCUCAAAUCUUGUCAAAACUUUUUUUUUUUUGGCUGAAAGUAAUAUAUUGUUUACUUUCUCUAAAAACUUUCAAUAUUUCUCUUAACUCUGCAAGGUUAUCCAGUUAUUGAUCUGUUCCAGAUUUAAAAUACAUAGGCCAUACAUGUCCAUCGAAGUAUCCUGGUGGAUCUGCCGGCUGAUAAACUCUGGGUUGGGGAACCUCCUGCCUAUGCACCGGAUCCAACACCUGGCUUGCUGCAGGCCAGAGAAAAGUAAGCCUUCGCACCGGGCUUCCCCACCCGUGUUGGCCUGGAGCAUAAGCAGAGCCCCAGCACCCGAGGUGAAGGAUGCCAAAUUGGCGCACACUGCUUAUAUCUUCAAAAUUAUCUUUGUCUUCAACGUCAGGAAGCCCUCACUGGAUGGAGGGGGGCUCAGCUUGCUGCAUACACCAAGGAGAUAGUGCCAUGAUAAUUUCUGCACUUUCCGCCACCCUCAUAUGAAUGUCUCUAUCUCCCCAUCUUGCUAAUUUGAUGGCUAUGUUUACUUUUUACGUCAGUAUAUCCUCGUUCUCUCCUCUUGCUCUAUUUAUACUGC